rnacentral:misc_RNA from 1 species
GGGUCCUGUGUGAAGUUCCUGAAUCUUUUGAAGCUUAUAGGAAGCAACAACAUCGAUGGCAUUCGGGCCCCAUGCAACUUUUCCGAGUGUGUCUUCCGGCUAUUGUUUCUUCCAAGAUAUCAAUAUGGAAGAAAGCCAACCUCAUACUUCUUUUCUUUUUGUUGAGAAAGCUCAUUCUUCCCUUCUAUUCAUUCACAUUGUUUUGUGUAGUUCUUCCUCUAACCAUGUUCAUCCCGGAAGCCGAGCUCCCUUUCUGGGUUGUUUGCUACAUUCCAAUUCUUAUGACACUUCUAAACAUUCUUCCAGCACCAAAAUCCAUUCCUUUCAUCGCCCCCUACCUCC